AACAUCCCACACUGUAGUUUGGAUGUUAACUGCCACCCAGUUGGGCUCUAAGCCUGUUCCUUUGAUCUUCUCAGAGUUACUGGGAACUACUUAAUAACGUUUAAUAGAAUCCUUUUCUGACUGAAUGGUCUCAUACUCUUUUGUUUACAACUAAGAAUGCUGAGAGUUUUACAGAUGGAGAAUUUUUUUUAAACAAGCAUUUUUAUUCAGUACCACCGUCUUGUAACUUUACCUGUGCCAGAGAUUUGCAUUUAAUUCUUAAAGGACUUAUUCUUUUUUUUUUCCUCUGUGUGUUUCUAAAACACAUUUGAGGAGAUUUAAACAACUUUAAACAGUUUGACAUGAUAUCUGGAGAGUGAUUCAGAAAGGCAGAAGUACCCUGGGUGCCCAUGAGCAUUGUGAAUCAACGCUCAUAAAAUUUUUUUAAAAAAGAAUAAAGUGAGGGGCGCCUGGGUGGCGCAGUCGGUUAAGCGUCGGACUUCAGCCAGGUCACGAUCUCGCGGUCCGUGAGUUCGAGCCCCGUGUCAGGCUCUGGGCUGAUGGCUCAGAGCCUGGAACCUGUUUCCAAUUCUGUGUCUCCCUCUCUCUCUGCCCUCCCCCGUUCAUGCUCUGUCUCUCUCUGUCCCAAAAAUAAAUAAAAAACGUUGAAAAAAAAUUUAAAAAAAAGAAUAAAGUGAAUAGUAACAAUAAAAUAGAGGGAGGCUGAGGAAGGAGAGCAACAGAAGAACAUGAAGAGUGUUGUAGCGCAAAUAUAAAACUGUGCUUAAUCUAGACUUGUAUUUUGUAUACAGAGCAAGGAGCCCAAAGUACUGCACAGUGUGGAGGGAAGAUUAAAGUUAAUACUGAAGGACAAGGGAGGAUAACAUGGAGUGAACAUCUGAGGAAGGACUGGAGGAAAAAGCAGAUUGCAAAUCUCAAGGUAGAGGCCUUCUUCAGAGAAACCACGGAGCUCAGGCCUGGAUGUGAGAGGGAACAGGACCACGCCUUCAGCAGGAGUGAACCUCCCAGGGUGCAGGAGCCUUCCUUGAAGUGUAAUCUUGCCAAAGCCAAAACACACACAAACAGAAAUCAACAAUAUGUGCAUUACGCCUGUUAUACCCUACACCAUCACCAUCACAAGUCUCAGAAUCAUCUCACUGGAUUCAAGCUUUGUAUAGCCCCUUUGGAUUGUUGUCUCAGUCUGCUGGCUUGUCACUUUGGCUGCAUCCCUGGAAGCCGUUGCUCAGGUCACUCUCCAUGUUCUACAGUUUGGAAUCCAGUCCUGCCUCACAUCCAAGACCAGCCCAGGGCCCUAGGGCCCCAGCACACAUUGAGGAUGCUAGACUUCUUUCAUCCUGGCGAAAAAGACCAGGCAUGGUGCUCUGAGUUCCUGGGGGAUUUCAGCAACCUGAACUCUUGUCAGAUCUCUGCUGCCCACCUGCCUGUGUUCUAA
rnacentral:lncRNA from 1 species